AUGUUAUAAUAAACAGGUCUGAUUUGUUAAAAUAAUAAAAGAAAUGACCAAAUUACCCUUGAGGAAAAGGACAAACCGGGUUUUUUUAAGAAAUCUGACCUAAUUUGAGAUUUGGACCAAAAUGGCAAUAAAAGUGAAACCACAUAGACCCAGAUUUAAAAAGUUUGAGAUUUGGACUAAAAUGGCAAAAGUGCCCAAACCACAGGGACCAAAAUGGCAGUUUACUCUUUACUUUUUGUAAAAUGGGUUUGCAGUGAUUUUUAUUUUAUAUGUUUGCAAGUAAAACAUAUAUGUGUGAAACCCCUGCACUAUAUAAAAGUUAGAAUGAAAUACUAAUAUAACAAGUUGGUGCUGCCAGAACUAGAGUAUUUUUAUGUUACACAUAAAGGAUACAUAAAUAUCACUAUGCACUAUUUGGAUCCAACAAUACAAGACAAAGAACAGUCUACUUUAUGAUAUUUAGAUUUUUUUCGUAUGAAAUCAAAGAAGAUUAAGAGCAGCAUAAGCAUCAAGACCAAAAUUCACGGUUCUUAAUGGCGUACCCGCCUGUUUCCUGUUUUUGAAUGUUCUUCAGGUAAUCAAGAGUCCACUUUUCAUAUGUACAAUCCACAAAGUCAUAGUAGCCACCAUGGAGAGAAAGCAGACCUUUUGCCACCCGUUCUUUGACCCACGGGUACGUAAGCAAGUUCAUCAGUGAGUUAUUUAUUGAUUCCUGCAAAAUUGCAAGCCAAAAGUCAAACUUACUACAUUUGAGUUCAAAUUUUGGCCGAAUUUAAUUCCAACAUACUUCUAGAUGUGGCGUUUAGUAUCAAGUUCGAUGUGCUUGUUAAAAUCACUGAAUGCAUAUCGAUUGACGGUUAGAAGCAGUGGCCUUUGUGGUUGA
rnacentral:lncRNA from 1 species